AUUAAGAAAAACUCAUUAAUUUAAAUGGAAAAAACAAACAUUAAAAUAGGUAGUUUAAUUUAAUUCUCAGUAGCAUAAAAGUGUAAAUAAGUUAGAAAACUUAGGGAUAUUUUUUAAUGGGUACUUCACUUUUAAUAAUAGAGAUGAGUUUAGCUAUAAAAAACUACUUACUCAUAGACUGCCUCUCGGUGUAAUUAUUUCGAUUAUCAUUUCAUUCGCUGAGUUUUCCGAUAGUACCAAAGCUGAGAAGUGGGGUCCGUACAAUAAUUAGAGAAGUGUUACAAGCAAUAAAAAAGCAACCCCAAAAGGCUUCCAGCAUGUAUACGGAUUCCUUAAUUCCCAUUAUAUUAACCGGUUCAUAUGUGUUUUACCAUAACAUACUUUGUAUACUUCACUGCAACAACACCAUCUCUCUCACAAGAUUACUAGAAACCCUUUUGGAAGAACCGACCACUCACUCAAAGCUCCAAAACCACUCAGCAUGAAAGGAUCACCGCGAGGUAUGCACACCUCACUGGUCCAUCCGUCCAACCAUAGGAAUCAAAGGUACAACGUAGAUUGUUGCUUCUCCGUAAUAGGUUCUCAUGAGGGCAUCAUCAUUGGUUGGGUCUCUCAAUUCUAGUUUUGCACCUUAUUAUAUUAAUACUUUUACAUAAUUUUCUUUUACAAUUAAUUUUACCAUGUUAAAAAGCUUUACGCCACUACGAAAAAGACAUGUAGAGAGCUAAUCUCUCAAGACCACAAGAAUGUCUCUUCUUCGAGGUACCUUUCUUCGCCUCUCUCUUCUUUUUUACUUUCUCUUUCUUCUUUUUGAUUUUUUUUAAUAUUUUUUGGUUGUUGAGAAAUGGUGGUAGAGACUAUCAGUGCACUUGCUCUCAGAUUCUUUAAAAAUGGUGUAUACAAAUUAUUAGACCUGAGAUGGAUCGGGUAUCCAGGCAAUUUUAAGGUAUCCGGAUCCGGAUCUUUAUCCGGAUCCGGGGUUCUCGGAUAUCCGGGCGUCGGAUAUCUUUCUAAAAAUUGUAAUAUCCGGCGGAUAUCCGGAUUCAGAUCUAGAUCCUUAAAAUAAAUAAAAAGAAUAAUAUUAAUAUACAUACAAUAUUAAUAAUAAUUUUAAAAAAAUUUAAUAAUAUUUUAAAUUAUUUCUAUGUAUAAUAUUACAAAAUUUACAUAAAAUUUAUAUAUACUAUUAUAAAAAUGAAAAUAUAUAAAAUAAAAUUAGUUUUAUAUAUAGAUAUUACUAUUUUUGAAAUAAUUAUUAAUAAAACUUACGGAUCCGGAUAUCCGAACUAAAAAAUCAAGAUAUCCGGAUCCGGUUUUGACGGAUCCAACAUUUUACUAUCAGGAUCCGGAUUUGACCCCUCCGGAUAUCUGGAUUUUUGGAUCGGAUCCGGAUCGGAUCUCGGAUCGAAUCCGGAUCUCGGAUAAAAAUUUCAGGUCUACAAAUUAUGUCACUUCAGAAUCGGGAGUGAUGGGGUGGAAAUAUAUUCUCCACCACAUGCUUUCUUAUCUAAAAGUCAACUAAACUGUUAGUAACUUACAAGAUUCACAUAAAGUAUGCCUUGAAAAAAAAAACAAUACACUCAUUACAAAUUUCCACUUAGACAAACAACUACACGAACAUAAUUUACAGGUGAAACCACUUCCCCCUCCCCUCCUCCCCAACCUAACAUCAGGCUAUCAAGACACACUCUCUCUCUAACAACAUUAACGCAAUAACAAGUUGACAAUAUAGUUCAUAAAAAAAAUAUGACAAGAAGUAUAGCCAAACAUGAGAAGCAAAAUAGGUUUAAGCUGCUCGGACCCAAGUCACCACAAAUCUAAAACCUCAACAAUUAUGCUGUAAAACAACUACACAAGAGAGAUAAAAAAAUUAAACGAACCAAUAUGUAAAUACAUUUAGCAACUAGAUGUAAUAAGAAAUAUAAAACCCCGCACAAAGAGCGGAAAUACUACUAGUAUAACAGUAUAUUAGACUUUUCUCUUGUUUUAGAAAAGCACCACAGCAGUGGAUGCUCCUUCUGUUUCCACGUGUUCUCUUUUUAAACCUUCACUCUCUAUUUGUUUCAACUCUUGACAUCUGUUUUACUUUAUUUUGGUUCAUUUAUUUUUGGCCUAAAUUAUAAUUACUUUAAAGAACUCGUAGCGUCUUCUCUUCGCCGGAGUAAAACUAUCUCCAAUAGUACACAAUAAUUUUUUCUAUAUUUCACUCUAAAAUAGAGUAACUCUAUUAUAGAGUUAGAUUUUUCCCAAUGGUUCACUCUAUAAUAGAGUUAUUCUAUAAUAUAAUAGAAUAUAGUGACCCAAAUUAUAAUUACUUUAGAUAAGUCAUAGCUUUCUCCUUUCGCCGGUGUAAGGAAACAUAUUUUUUGCGACUCCUUUUCAUCUUCUUUGACGACUCCCUUUCAUCUUCUUUGACGAUGUUACACUGCGAAAAUGACAAUCAAUCAAGCUAUCCCACUAUUUUCACUACGUACUCUUUAUUAAUUAUUUAAUUCACCUUUCACCUCCUGCGUUGCAUAAAAAAAUAAAGCGUAUGAGCAACAGAGCGAAAUCUUUUGCCUUUCGAAACCCAGAGUUCGUGUCCAUUAUCACUGAAACCUCUCCACCAUGGCGUCUUCUCAAGUUCACUUUUCGGAGCUGAAGGCUGGCUGCUGCAGAGAAACUGUUCAGGUGAGACUACUUCGAUUUUGGAAGGCCCAUAAUGUGAAAAAGGCGAUGAGAUGAUGGUGAUCGACAUGCUGCUUAUUAAUGUGAAGGCUACGCUCGUCCAAACUUCUAUCAAUGUCCACAAUCUUAACACCUUCAGACACCUGUUAAGAGAAAGCUCGCUAUAUGAUCUGAGUACACGUGCCAGUAACUCUUAAUAUUUCUUCGAUAAUUCCUUACUUUCCAAAAAAUGUAAUUGUCAGGAAUUCCAUCAAUAUUGCUAUACUACUUUUCAUGCAUAGAGGCCGUCUCAAACUUUAUACAGGCUCUGUUCAAAAACGAAAAUAAGACCAUUUUUAAUAAUCUGAAAUAAUUUAGAUUUUUUUACAAAAUAUCAUUAUAAUAGAAAAUAAAUACAUCAAAUUAAUUAUUUUAUAUCUAAAUAACACAAUUUUCUAAUUGUUAAUGUAAAUUAUUGAUCAAAUCAUUGAACUUGAUCAUUUGACAUUUUUCAAUGUAAAUUCAUCGAUCAAAUCAUCAAAUUUGAUCAUUCUUCUAGCCAUUCUUCUAGUUUUUUCAGUUUUUUUUUACGUUUAUUAUAUCCACAAUCAGAAAUUAUAAUUUAUAAAUAUAAUAGAGCAAAUCUGGAUAGUAGUUAGACAAAAAGCUAUAUACUCUUUGAUUAGGCAAGACACUUUUUUUUCUUGUCGACAGAAGUUGUAGGCUAGUUUUUUUUUCUUUGUGUUUGCUAUUUUUUAUUAAAAAAAUGGUGAAUAAAAAUAUAUCUUUUUCUCCCUGUUUAUUCUCACUAAUUGAUAAUUGUUUCUUAAACAUAAUCAAAUUAGAAUACUAACUUUCUAUACCACCAUUGAAUAUUCAAACACACAUCAACAACUAUUUCUUACUUUCCAAAAUAUGUAAUUGAUAUAAAUACUAAUUACUUCCUAAUUUAUUGCAUUUUUAGUUGGUUAUAUAAACAAAAUUAAGAAUUGUAAUUUGUAUAUCUAAAUUUAUAGGGAGGACGAGCUAUUUCCCCAUGGGAAGUAUCAUAUAGUAUCAUAUGUCUCCCAAACUAUGACAUCAUUUCAGAUGUCCCCGGAAUAAAAAUUCUAAACAUAUUUCUCCAUGAAACUCAAUUUGAUAUUGGUUAAGACAAUUUCCCGUAUAAUCACAAAACCAAACAAAAAAAACUCUUAAAUAGAACCGAAACCUAAUUCAGUUAAACCCAAACAAAAAGCGUGACCCGACCAUCAUCCUCUUCCUCACCCCUUUUUCCCCAGAUUUUACCCAGUUUUUUCUUCACCUAAUCCCUAACCAAUCACUUCUUCAUCUACAUAUGUAUUGCUUCCAUUAAUUAAUUUCUUCUUUCUUCUCUCAUUGUUUUGGAUAUGCUUGUUAAUCUCGUCGCUAGCAAUACAGACAUGUUCUUCAAGAGAGAUAAAGAGAUUAGUAUCACCAUUAACCCAAUGGUUUACAAGUUUUGAUUCAACGGCCCCACCACCUCUAUCACCAUUAACACAUUGUUUCUUUAUGUCUUCUCCUUCAGCCCCGUUCUAAAUAAAUAAAAUCUCUUAAUUGGAGAAAACUGUCAUUAGUGUCUCAAGUCAAAUAAUAUUUAGACAAGAACAUCAAUGGAUCAGAGAAGACAAGUCUCACGUAGAAGUAAAAUAAAAAGGAAGAAACUUUGUGGGUUUAUGAUUUUGAUUUCUUGACUACUUCUACUAUGGCUUCAAGCUGGGUUUUCGAAAAUUUCUGAGUUUUUGAAUUCAGCCAUGAUUACAGAUUGAUUAAGGAAUAAGAAGACCAGAAGAAGCGUUGGUUUGUUUUAUUUUUUUAUAGUCACGUUUAAUUUUUGAAUUUGGUUUAGUUUGGUUUAUUAUUAAAAUUUUGAUGGUUUUGGUUUAUCAGUAAAAAUUUUAAACCAAAUAAUUUAAUUUUAUGGGUUCAUGGAUUUGGAACUUUUAAUCUAUGGAGAUAUAAGUAGUAAGCUUAAGUUUCAUGGAAAAAUAGGUUUAGAACUUUUAUUUCGGAGACAUCUAAAAUGAGGUCAUAGUUUGAGAGACAUACACUGGUAUACUAUAUUUUUCGUGGGGAAAUAACUCGUCUUCCCAAAUUUAUAUUUAUUGGUUAUAAAUACGAAAUUUAAAUUCAAAUAUAGUGAUUCUGACUUUCUUAUAAAUAUCUAUAUUAUUAAAACUGAAGUACCUUUUGGUACUGUUUGAAUACAAGGAUAGCAAACUUAAAAAAAAAAAUUAUUGUUGUUUGAACACAAAGUUAGCAGGACAAAACGUUUUCUUUCUUGACUUCAUUAAUGUCCUUUUCGUAAUUUAACAAAAUUAACCAGAUUCUCCGUUGCAAUCUAGAGAGUUUGAAUUCUCGCUUGAAUCUCGGUUGCAAUAUAGAAUAUAUGAUUUCCUUAAUUUUCUAAACUAAACCUUCAGCCCACGUCUUUUUUUCUCCAAGAUAUAGAUAUUUCCAAAUGUCUUAUAUUGCAUCCGUAUCUCCUUAAAAGCCAUCGAGAUCCUCCAUAAUUAGUUACCUAAAUCAUUGCAAACAAAUAUAACAAUAGAUUAAUGUAUUCCGUAAGAGAAAAAGGAAUAUACCCAAAUAUCUAUCAACCAUACAAUCAACCAAUAUCUUAAUGGUUAGAUUUUCCUUGUGAUAUUUAACGUGCUCACCAAUUUUCGUAACCAUAUAUAUAGAUAUCCCUCUACGACUCAAAUUAUUACUUCUCAACCCAUCACCAAAAAAUCGACUUUUUAACAAGAGAUGUCGAGUAACGCGAGUUGUAACCUGCUUAAGGAUGUCAAGCCUUUCAAAACCGGGUGGAGAGUACGUGUGAAGAUGCUUCAUUCCUGGAAACAGAACUUUGGAGGAGAAACACUUGAGUGCAUUCUUGCAGAUGAAACAAUUCAUGCUUCAUGCAAACGAAGUCAAAUGUUCCGGGUUCAGCGAGGCUUACCAAUUGGAGAAUGGCGAUUUGUUGAAAACUUCACCGUAUCCCAGGCUGGUGGGCAGUAUCGACCAACUAACCUGCAGUACAAGAUGACAAUCAGUGGUGAAACAGUCAUAUCAAUAUCUGAUUUACAAAACAACAACCACUUCCUUGAUCUUGCAAGUUAUGAAGAUAUCAUUGAGGGAAAAUUGAAUCCCUAUUUCCUAAUUGAUGUCAUCGGUGAAAUUUUUGAUAUGCGCACUAUACAGACUAUGAAGGUCAAGAACGAAGAUCGUAAGAGGGUUGUAUUCCGACUACGUGACACAAAUAAUAGAUUGAUCAUUGAAUCUUUUGUAGUCAAACAUGACAGUUUUUUCACAAAUAAUUACUAAACGAAAGUGAAGAUACACUACCUGAUAUGCAAGACAAGUUGUUUAUGCU